AUCAACCAAAGCAAGAUACUUCCAGCUUGGAGCCAAUUAUUUCAUCUCUGGGACAAUUAUUUCCAAGAUAUCAUUCAGCUCUGAUAUUUGCUUUAAUAUAGUGAGCUCAGAGCAUCUUCAUCCAGUCUCCAAACUAUAUUGUGGCCAGCUGAGAAAAGACACUGAGCUUACAGUUUGAAGACUGAAGAGACAAGAUACAUAGACAAGCUUGCAUGCUUUGGUAAAGCAAGCUGCCAUGCUGCAGAGUCCUACACAAGGAACUAAGGAUGUCCUUCAACUAAUAGCCAGCAAGGAACUGAAGCCUUCAGUUCAAUACCAUGAGAGGAAUGGAAUCCCACCACCAACCACAUAAGGGAGCAGAUCCUUUCUCAGUUCAGCCUUCAGAUGAGAAUGUAGCCCCUGGGCUCACAUGCAACCUUUAUAAGAGAUAUUGAAGCAGAUGAUCCAGCUCAGCUGUAUCUGGAAUCCUGAACCAUACAGACUGAGAUAAUAAAUGUGUACUG